UACGUAGGGACCAAGCGUUGUUCGGAUUUACUGGGCGUAAAGGGCGUGUAGGCGGUUCGGUAAGUCGGCUGUGAAAGUCCAGGGCUCAACCCUGGGAUGCCGGUCGAUACUGCCGGACUAGAGUUCGGAAGAGGCGAGUGGGAUUCCCGGUGUAGCGGUGAAAUGCGCAGAUAUCGGGAGGAACACCGAUGGCGAAGGCAGGUCUCUGGGCAUUAACUGACGCUGAGGAGCGAAAGCAUGGGGAGCGAACAGG
rnacentral:rRNA from 1 species